CUGCUAGGUUUUAUACAGUAAUAAUAUAUAUCUGCCUCACUCUCAGAGAAAUCAGUAGUACUGCUAGGUUUUAUACAGUAAUAAUAUAUAUCUGCCUCACUCUCAGUGAAAUCAGUAGUACUGCUAGGUUUUACACAGUAAUAAUAUAUAUCUGCCUCACUCUCAGAGAAAUCAGUAGUACUGCUAGGUUUUACACAGUAAUAAUAUAUAUCUGCCUCACUCUCAGAGAAAUCAGUAGUUCUGCUAGGUUUUACACAGUAAUAAUAUAUAUCUGCCUCACUCUCAGAGAAAUCAGUAGUACUGCUAGGUUUUAUACAGUAAUAAUAUAUAUCUGCCUCACUCUCAGAGAAAUCAGUAGUACUGCUAGGUUUUACACAGUAAUAAUAUAUAUCUGCC